rnacentral:rRNA from 1 species
AGAGUUUGAUCCUGGCUCAGGACGAACGCUGGCGGCACGCUUAACACAUGCAAGUCGAACGAGAGAAGAGGAGCUUGCUUUUCUGAUCUAGUGGCGGACGGGUGAGUAACACGUGAGCAAUCUGCCUUUCAGAGGGGGAUACCGACUGGAAACGAUCGUUAAUACCGCAUAACAUAAUUGAACCGCAUGAUUUGAUUAUCAAAGAUUUAUCGCUGAAAGAUGAGCUCGCGUCUGAUUAGCUAGUUGGUAAGGUAACGGCUUACCAAGGCGACGAUCAGUAGCCGGACUGAGAGGUUGAUCGGCCACAUUGGGACUGAGACACGGCCCAGACUCCUACGGGAGGCAGCAGUGGGGAAUAUUGCACAAUGGAGGAAACUCUGAUGCAGCGAUGCCGCGUGAGGGAAGAAGGUCUUAGGAUUGUAAACCUCUGUCUUCAGGGACGAAAAAAGACGGUACCUGAGGAGGAAGCUCCGGCUAACUACGUGCCAGCAGCCGCGGUAAUACGUAGGGAGCGAGCGUUGUCCGGAAUUACUGGGUGUAAAGGGAGCGUAGGCGGGAUCGCAAGUCAGAUGUGAAAACUAUGGGCUUAACCCAUAAACUGCAUUUGAAACUGUGGUUCUUGAGUGAAGUAGAGGUAAGCGGAAUUCCUAGUGUAGCGGUGAAAUGCGUAGAUAUUAGGAGGAACAUCAGCGGCGAAGGCGGCUUACUGGGCUUUAACUGACGCUGAGGCUCGAAAGCGUGGGGAGCAAACAGGAUUAGAUACCCUGGUAGUCCACGCCGUAAACGAUGAUUACUAGGUGUGGGGGGACUGACCCCUUCCGUGCCGCAGCAAACGCAAUAAGUAAUCCACCUGGGGAGUACGACCGCAAGGUUGAAACUCAAAGGAAUUGACGGGGGCCCGCACAAGCAGUGGAGUAUGUGCAUUAAUUCGAAGCAACGCGAAGAACCUUACCAGGUCUUGACAUCGUAUGCAUAGCUCAGAGAUGAGUGAAAUCUCUUCGGAGACAUAUAGACAGGUGGUGCAUGGUUGUCGUCAGCUCGUGUCGUGAGAUGUUGGGUUAAGUCCCGCAACGAGCGCAACCCUUACUGUUAGUUGCUACGCAAGAGCACUCUAGCAGGACUGCCGUUGACAAAACGGAGGAAGGUGGGGAUGACGUCAAAUCAUCAUGCCCCUUAUGACCUGGGCCUCACACGUACUACAAUGGCUGUCAACAGAGGGAAGCAAAGCCGCGAGGUGGAGCGAACCCCUAAAAGCAGUCUUAGUUCGGAUUGUAGGCUGCAACCCGCCUACAUGAAGUCGGAAUUGCUAGUAAUCGCAGAUCAGCAUGCUGCGGUGAAUACGUUCCCGGGCCUUGUACACACCGCCCGUCACGCCAUGGGAGUCGGUAACACCCGAAGCCUGUAGUCUAACCGCAAGGAGGACGCAGUCGAAGGUGGGAUUGAUGACUGGGGUGAAGUCGUAACAAGGUA